UUCCCUAAGAACCUGGUUCUUCAUCCACACAGAGCAGUAAAUGGGACAAUGCCCUCAACAACUCAAGCUGCACAAGACAGCUACCAUGCUCAUCAGACUAUGUGUGACCCUGAGACUGCUAGACUCAAACUUCCUGCAUGCUUCAACACCACCACAAGUUUUAAUUCCCUUCUCUACAGGAGAUCACACUGAACAGCAGAAGCAAUAAAAAUAUGGUAAGCAACUCUACUGUUGUGCAAAGGAGACAGAUUUUGCAAGACAACUAUGCCCAAGGGAGUAGAGAAAGCUACAGAUGUAUGAACAACUUGAAACAGCAGGUGCUUGCUCAUCUGCCCACUGAUACACAUCUCUCCAGAAGAUGAAAGCUUCCAUUCCUUAAAUGCAGUACAUCUUCAAAUAAAGAGUUAAAUGGUG